UUGCUGAUAAAACAGGGGAGAUACCAUGAUCACGAAGGUGGUUUUCCCAGGGUGAGGCUUAUCCAUUGCACUCCGGAUGUGCUGACCCCUGCGAUUUCCCCAAAUGUGGGAAACUCGACUGCAUAAUUUGUGGUAGUAGGGGACUGUGUUCGUGCUUUCCCCUG
ensembl:snRNA U1 U1 spliceosomal RNA